AAACGUAGUCCAACAACGAAAGAGCCCUGAAGCUCAAGCGGAGCCCGCUGGCCGCAGGGGCCGCACCACGCCCCAGACCCUGGAGUUUCCGGGUGCGCAGACCCUUGCCAUCAGCAGAGGCUGCCGCUGCGCGUCCCCUAGGCGCGGAAGAGGCGGCUGGUGGUCCCUGACGGCAAGGUUUUAUACAUUACGAAUAAAGCUGGCACGUUUCCAUUUCUCCUGGGCAAAUAUUUAGAAGAAAAGUUGCUGGGUAAUUGGUGGAGACAAGGUUUCGCCACAUUGACUGGGCUGGUCUGGAACUCCUGAGCUCAAGCAACCGGCCCUCCUUGACCUCCCAAAGUGCUAGGAUUACAGGUGUGAACCACCGUGCCCGGCCCUACUUUCUAUCGAAGUAGAAUAGGUAGAUCACAUUAUUAUUAACAGUAUAUGGGAAGAGGGAGGUCCUCCCAUGUUACAUUGUUCUCCCUUCACCUUCUGGGUCAUGUUGCACCACUGUUUCCCUUCUAGUCAUAUCCCAGGGGGCCUUGUCCCAUUUAUACAGCUCUAUUCUAGUGGUCACCAGAGGAAUGGGAGUAAUCUGAUUGAAAGAUAAGACAGAAGAUUGUACUCUCUUUUUUUUUUUUUUGAGACAGAGUCACCCAGGCUGGAAUGCAGUGGCAUUGUCAUGGCUCACCGCAGUCUCAAACUCCUGGGCCCAAGUGAUCCUCCCACUCAGCCUCCUGAGUAGCUGGGACUAGAGGCACAUGCAACCACAUGCAGCUAUUUUUUUUUAAAUUUUCUGUAGAGACAGGGUCUCACUGUGUUGCUCAGUUUGUCUCAAACUCCUGGGCUCAAGUGAUCCUCCUGCCUUGGCCUCACAAAGUACUAGGAUUACAGGCAUGAGUCACCACACUCAGCUGAACUCUACUCUUUAUGUUCAGGAAAGCACUGGAGAAGAGAGAGGACAAGAGAAACAGGUCCGUAGUGACAGGAGCCUAGGAAUAGAGCAGGCCUUCAGUCUUGGUGAAAAAAUAAAUGGUAUUCUAAGCCUUCCUUUGGACAUUAA
rnacentral:lncRNA from 1 species